ensembl:lncRNA
CUUAUUGCUAAGCCCUGAUAAAUUUUCACUUGUCUUGCUUAUUAUGAAGCAUUAUGUAUGACCAGUUAAUACUUGUCUUUACUUUUUUUUCAGUUGUUAGAAAUGUGCAAGUGCUAAAAGUGUGGAGAAGGUUUUAAAAGUGGACCAUUAUCUACUACGCUUCUUCAGUGAAUCUAAAAGCCCAUAUUCAGAUUUGGAAAAACGCCUCUCUAAGGUCUCCAGCACCUUCAAGAUCAACACUGACUGUGAAGAGUUGGUGGUGACGAGGGACCCAGCUGCUGCAGAUGUUUUGUCCCUGAAGAAAUGGGAAUUUGCUGUGGAUGAAGUGUUUGAGACUCUAAAGUCACGCUAUAUCAUCCAUUUUGAGGUUGAAAGCUACAAAUCUGCGAUUCUGGAAGAAAAUUCUUUCCUCCAAAGUGAUAACUUUAAAGUCUAUUUUGAAGAACUAACAUGUUUAGCUGUGGUGGUCGGAGAACGAACAGAAGUGGAGAAGAUUUUAAAAUUACUAAGCCGCUUGCAGGACAAACAGCAGGUUCAACAAGAGUGUUGCGUGUCUAAGAAACAAUAUGACCUCAUCAAAGAGUGGUUCGAGCCAUACAUAAAAACUAAAUUACCUGCCCUUAAGAUCGCACAGGAACGAGCAGGUGUUCUCCUUCUGAAGGGUCCUGAGAAAGAGGUCCAUGCAGUUGAAGAAGAGCUUUUAAAAUUAGUGCUAGGAAUCAAAGAGAAGAGGAUCUCAUCACAUCGUGCUCUUAUGACCUUCUUGAAAUCAAGUGGCAGUAUACAGCACUUCCAAAACCGAUUCCAGCAGAGCCUCCACAGCCCGGUUAUACUCGAGACUUAAGGUUCAGAUCUUCUUCUUCUGUUGAGUCUGUCUGACCAGGGGCGUUGCACCCAUGUUUUAACGCCUACACUUUUCCCGGUGAGAGGGUUCAACACCCGCACUUUUUCUGCAGUUUUUCCACAGUUUUGCACAAACGCCUUACUACAGUCGCUCCUCCGUUUCUCUGGCCGCUCUGUGUCUGCGCUCGCUGCGGCUGCCUCCUCUCCCCCUCACCGGCU